rnacentral:rRNA from 1 species
UACAGGGGGGUGCAAACGUUGCUCGGAAUUAUUGGGCGUAAAGCGCGCGUAGGCGGCUACUUAAGUCGGAUGUGAAAGCCCUUGGCUCAACUGAGGAAGUGCACCCGAAACUGAGUAGCUGGAGUACGAAAGAGGGUCGCGGAAUUCCCGGUGUAGAGGUGAAAUUCGUAGAUAUCGGGAGGAACACCGGUGGCGAAGGCGGCGACCUGGGUCGAUACUGACGCUGAGGCGCGAAAGCCAGGGGAGCGAACGGG